rnacentral:rRNA from 1 species
CUUAUCUAUUUAAUUCUGGUUGUAGAAGGGAUGAAAGCAAGACUACAUAAGAAUCGUCUGUAUAGUUAGUAUAAAGGGGAGCUUUAUGGGGUCCUUAGUAGCUAGAUCUUAUUUUUCGGAGAAAUCCAGAGUGGGUUGUUUUCUAAGAAGUGGUGAAUACUCAGUGCCAGCAUCCGCGGUUAUUCUGUUAGCUUUGAUCUUCGGCGAUAGGUGUAAAUAAUUUAGGGAUUAAUAGCCGGUUGGGGGUAGAAUCUUACUGGUGUUGAGACAAGUCUCUAUAUGUUUUAUGGCUUUUUUUUGAAGGGGAUUAGAUACCCCUGUAAUAAAGUGUAAGUUUUGUUCCUUAGUAUAAACUAAAAGGAUUUGGCAGCCGACGAGGUUCCUCCGGGGGAGCGUGUAUCGUAAAAGACAGUCCGCUUAAGAGUUAACCCUGGCUAGUUUAGUUAGUGUAUAUCCGGUUUAAUAUUUGUGGUUAGUGCGAGUGUAACGAUUUGUUUAAUCCAGGUCUAUGUGCUGCUAAUGUUGGGGGGCUUAUGCGCUACAUUAUUAAAUGUGUUGGUGGGGGGCAUUGCCAAUUAUGUUUAGGACUCGGAAGUAGGCGAUAAGAUAGGUUUUUUUGUCGAAGAGGAUUUAGUUGGGGUACACACCGCCCGUCACCCAGGGCGUUAGCUGUGGUAAGUCGUAACAUGGUAAUGCUAGGGGAACCUGGUGUUAGUUGAUUCUUCUGUUAUAAGGGGGGUU